rnacentral:tRNA from 1 species
GGGGUUGUGGCCCAGUGGUAGAGCGCUUGCCCAUCAUGAAAGAGGCACUGGGUUCAAUCCUCAGCACCACUU